UACAUAGGUGGCGAUCGUUAUCCGGAAUUAUUGGGCGUAAAGAGCGCGCAGGUGGUUGAUUAAGUCUGAUGUGAAAGCCCACGGCUUAACCGUGGAGGGUCAUUGGAAACUGGUCGACUUGAGUGCAGAAGAGGGAAGUGGAAUUCCAUGUGUAGCGGUGAAAUGCGUAGAGAUAUGGAGGAACACCAGUGGCGAAGGCGGCUUCCUGGUCUGUAACUGACACUGAGGCGCGAAAGCGUGGGGAGCAAACAGGAUUAGA
rnacentral:rRNA from 1 species